AGCGAACGCUGGCGGCAGGCUUAACACAUGCAAGUCGAGCGGGCACCUUUCGGGGCGUCAGCGGCGGACGGGUGAGUAACGCGUGGGAACGUGCCCUCUGGUUCGGAAUAACUCAGGGAAACUUGAGCUAAUACCGGAUACGCCCUUUUGGGGAAAGGCUUGCUGCCGGAGGAUCGGCCCGCGUCUGAUUAGCUAGUUGGUGAGGUAACGGCUCACCAAGGCGACGAUCAGUAGCUGGUCUGAGAGGAUGAUCAGCCACACUGGGACUGAGACACGGCCCAGACUCCUACGGGAGGCAGCAGUGGGGAAUAUUGGACAAUGGGCGCAAGCCUGAUCCAGCCAUGCCGCGUGAGUGAUGAAGGCCUUAGGGUUGUAAAGCUCUUUUAUCCGGGACGAUAAUGACGGUACCGGAGGAAUAAGCCCCGGCUAACUUCGUG
rnacentral:rRNA from 1 species